GUAGGAUGAGCCCGCAGCGUCUCCCCUAGUUACUAACGUAACGUCUCCCAAGAGGAAGAACAGCCACCCUGCCAGAGAGGCCACCCCCCACUCUGACACUAAGACACGGCCCAGACUCCUACGCAAUGCACCAAUGCCUAAUAUUGCCCUAUGCGGCGAAAUCCUGAUGCUCUUACGCCUCGUGAGGUAUGACGGCCUUCAGGAUGUUGACCUCUUUCAGCAAGGAAGAACCGAAAGUGACGGUACCUGCAGAAGAAGCGCCGGCUAACUACGUGCCAGCUGCCGCGAAAAUACGUACGGCGCAGGCGUUGUCCGGAAUUAUUGGGCGUAAAGAGCUCGUACGCGGCUUGUCACGUCAGUUGUGAUAGACCGGGGCUUAACCCCGGGUCUGCAAUCUAUACGGAAAUGCUAGAGUUCAGUAGGGGAUAUCGGAAUUCCUGAUGUACCGGUGAAAUGCACACAUAUCACGAGGAACACCGGUGGCGAAAGCGGAUCUCUGGGCCGAUACUGACGCUAAUGAUCCAACUCGUGGUCAGCGAACAGGAUUAGAUACGCUGGUUGUCCACGCCAUACCUGUGGGCACUACGUGUGGGCACAUUCCACGUUGUCCGUGCAGCACCUAACGCAUAAAGUGCCUCGCCUGAAUAGUACGGCCCCACGCUAACACUCAAGGAGUUGACUAAUUCCAGCAAAGCGGAGAAGCUUGCGGCUUAUUACACGCAGGCCAACAACCUUACGAGGCUUGCCAUACACGGAAGACCCUGGAGACCGGCUCGCCUUGUGCACGUGUACCGUGGAACAUGGCUGUCGUCCCUCAUGACGGAAACCUUGGGUUAAGUCCCCAACGAGCGCACCCUGGUCCUGGUUGCCAGCAGG
rnacentral:rRNA from 1 species